rnacentral:rRNA from 1 species
GAUGAACGCUGGCGGCGUGCCUAAUACAUGCAAGUCGAGCGAACGGACGAGAAGCUUGCUUCUCUGAUGUUAGCGGCGGACGGGUGAGUAACACGUGGAUAACCUACCUAUAAGACUGGGAUAACUUCGGGAAACCGGAGCUAAUACCGGAUAAUAUUUUGAACCGCAUGGUUCAAAAGUGAAAGACGGUCUUGCUGUCACUUAUAGAUGGAUCCGCGCUGCAUUAGCUAGUUGGUAAGGUAACGGCUUACCAAGGCAACGAUGCAUAGCCGACCUGAGAGGGUGAUCGGCCACACUGGAACUGAGACACGUACCAGACUCCUACGGGAGGCAGCAGUAGGGAAUCUUCCGCAAUGGGCGAAAGCCUGACGGAGCAACGCCGCGUGAGUGAUGAAGGUCUUCGGAUCGUAAAACUCUGUUAUUAGGGAAGAACAUAUGUGUAAGUAACUGUGCACAUCUUGACGGUACCUAAUCAGAAAGCCACGGCUAACUACGUG